AUGAAGGUACAGUUACAGUCCUUACGAGUAAACUGGCAAAUGGUAACUCAAAGCUCUUUGUUCCUGUUACAGCUCCAGAAGUCAGUCACCAGCAGCAAAUGUCACACAGUUAUAAAAUGGGAAACUUGAAGAAUAAGUUAUAGCUCCAGAAAACCGCCACCAGCAGCAGAUGUCACAGUUAUAAAAUGGGAAACUUGAAGAAUAAGUUAUAGCUCCAGAAAACCGCCACCAGCAGCAGAUGUCACAGUUAUAAAAUGGGAAACUUGAAGAAUAAGCUCCAGAAGUCAGCAGCAGCAGCAGCAGCAAUCACACAGCCAUAAUGCGAGAAGCUUGAAGAAUAAUGUGGUAGUGGUUUGAAU